AUGGAAGCGUGGCUUGGCAGUGUGAUAAACAACCAUCAGAGGACAGCUUCUCCCAGCCGGUGUCGGGCACACCUUGCCGUGCUCAGCUCUCUGGACUCCUCAGCUGAGCAUUUAGUGAGCAGCACAUCAAACUCUUUGCUCAGCUGCUUCAGGUCAUUUGCAGUAAUUCUGCUUCCUUCCUUGGGAUGCACUUCUUCCUCUUCAAGGUGUGAGCCACAGAGAGAGAGAGAGAGAGCAGCAAUCCCUGCUGGAAAUGGCUUGGGAAUACCGGGGAGGAAGCAGGAGCAUUGGUGAGAUUUUGAGGACGGAAGAGUGAAAGAUGAAGUGCUAAAUCUGAGACUGUGGCUGCUAAAAUGAGCUGCUGAACACCAGAGAGCAAGAAUUACUGCAUUUCCUGAGAGUGCUGCAGAACCUCUGAGCCUUUUAUUUCCAGUAGUAGAAACCCACAUGGGUCUCAGGAAGUGUUAAAAUGACAGGUUUUGAAAGAACAGUUUACCAUCAAGGCAAAAAAUAUAUUUUAUAUGUAUAAAAUAGGUAUCUUAUGCUCUGUGUUUAUCUGUUUUCCCCAUUCCAGGUCCCCUGAGCAGAUAAUGCUGCAGUCUCAGCUCCCUCUCCCUCCACCCUGGCUGCUGUGCUGAACAUCAUUUCAAAAGAGCACAGCUGGGUGCUGGACUGUAAUUUCUCAUGCAGCUCAGAUCAAGUCCAUUAGUUUAUUUGAAGGUUAGGACCAAGACCAUGGAGGUGCACGAGGAGCUAAUAGACAGACCGGUGUUCCUGCUGUGCUCACGGGGGCUUAAACCAGGGAGAAAAUAGUCAGGCACAUCCAUAUUAUUUUCACCUUUUGCUUCACCAUUUGCAGCAGUCUCAUUCAUAAAUGACAAAGAAACAGCUCCCUGCUGUGAGGUCCUCAUACCACAGAGAGCUGUAAUGAGUUUGUAACGAGAUGGAGAUAAGGAAGGUUUUUUUGUGAUUACUCAGACAAAUCUCUGAGUGCAAAUCAGAGGGGUAUGUCUUUCCAUCACUCUCCAUGGCUUAAACAUCUGAGGAUAGUUAAGGAAUUCUCAUGGCAUUUUGUAAGAAGAACUCAGUAAGACAAAAAUGUUCUAAAUGCAUCUUUAUGGAUUUCUUGCCUUCAUUGUAUGUCAGAAUCUUUUGUAAUUUGACAGCCACCAGCAGUGAUUAAUGGCUGGCAAUAUGGCUGGGGGCAAUGUGUGUCUCAAAGUCAGUAUCAGGGAAGCCUCUGUGAUCUGGGAAGUCUUUGGCUCUGGAACUGUCUCCUUGCAAAAUCAGAAACAAGUGUUUUGCCUGUGUGCUCCGUGAAGAGCUCCAAAUAAAUAGCUGGAAUAUUAAUGAAGAUGAGAGUGA
rnacentral:lncRNA from 1 species